rnacentral:rRNA from 1 species
UACGGAGGGGGGCUAGCGUUGUUCGGAAUUACUGGGGCGUAAAAGCGCACGUAGGCGGCUUUGUAAGUUAGAGGUGAAAGCCCAGGGCUUAACCCUGGAAUUGCCUUUUAAGACUGCAUCGCUAGAAUCGUGGAGAGGUGAGUGGAAUUCCGAGUGUAGAGGUGAAAUUCGUAGAUAUUCGGAAGAACACCAGUGGCGAAGGCGACUCACUGGACACGUAUUGACGCUGAGGUGCGAAAGCGUGGGGAGCAAACAGGG